ensembl:lncRNA
CCGGUUACAAAUAGUAGUAUCGUGCUAACACUAAUGCUAACCUGAUACAGUCAGUAUUUUGAUCAGUUAAGCUAAUGGUAGAGUCCUGCAGAAGAGCAGGUGCGCCGCGUCGGCCAAUCAGAACCGGCGGGGAGGAUCACAUGACCGACACCGUGGUCGAAAUGCAGGCAGGCAGGCAGCGCUCGGGACUCGGGAGAGCGGCAGUGAGGCAGAGACGGAGAGAGAGACGGAGCUGAGGAGAAGGGAGAGAGAGAGAGAGAGCGCGCGAGAGUACUUGGAUGGUUAUCUGCGCUCAGGGACGGAAAGCCACUCGCUCGGGGAGCGCGCCGAGCACCUGUCCGACUCGUCCAGACCACAUUCCCGCCUUCCCUCCUCAAGUAUCUACAAAACGCUGACUCUCCACUCAUCCACUGCUCAAGUCUCGGUCCUGUGACUGCGUUUUGGCUCGAUGAACGAGGCCAGAGCCUUGAACUGCGCUUCACCCUGUAGACCAAUAAACAAACCCACAUCACACUGACAGGCCGCGCAGGAGCUCCUCUAGACCUUCAGCUGUCCCGAUCAGGGACGUACCAAUCCCAUUCCUGGGGGUGGACACAUCAUUAAUUCAUUAGCAGAGCAGAGCGCACAGGUCGUGUCCCUCUGUAAGGAAGCGGAACAAAGAGGACGACACAGUCAAAAGUGUAGGUCUCCCUCUCUCUCUCUCUCUCCUCUCCUCUCCCUCUCUCUCUCUCUCUCUCUCUCUGUGUUUGUUAAAUUAUGGUGGUGAUAUUUAUUUCUCUCAUUAAGAACUAUUGAAAGCACACUUGCAUUUUCAUUUACGGUCACCACUGAUGUCAUUGUGACACAAUUUCCCUUCCCACUCCACCCCCCACCCCCCAACAUUAGAUUUCAGGAUGUUUCCUGCUAAAAAAAAAAAGGAGAUCUGGUGAAUGCAUUAAAGUUUGAAAGCACAGAAAGAUGAAGUAGCGCUGCGGAGCAUCUCUCUGGUUUAAAAUGGAGUCUAGUGAUGAUGACUGUUAUCAGGAUGUAUGGAAGUGUAAUCUUGAAGCACGAGUAUGAGAGAGAUUAUAAGAUGGAUCGCAGAGGGUUGAGUGAAAACUAUUACAUCCGCUCGAGUUCUGCAGAAUCCAUUAAACGCUGGCGCUCGCCGCGGGGGAGGAGCGGACGGCACCGAUCCCGCUUUAACGCGCGAGGCAGCGCCGGGUCACGGGCGCGCUCAAGAAAGCUUUUGCAAAUACGCGGUAAUAACUCUAUCUGUGACAGGAUCGGGGAUAAUUUCAGUUCGAGUCUGACUUAAACACACACACACACACACACACACACACACACAUCAUCUGCAGUCAUUAGAUUUAAACCGCCGUCUCAGAUGUCACUGCACACUUUACAGAGAUACGGUCCAGUACGUCGAGGCUUCGAGCUCCGAGGAAUCAGUUCGGGAUUAGGAUUAGUAACGGAUGCUGGUUUUAUUUUCCAUCCAGUGGCACGUAGGAAUUGUUUACUGCUGAGACUGCUCAUGGCGUUCCUCCACGCUGAUGGAUCGCACAUGUUGAAGGCCUGUGGUGCAACAAACCCAUACACCACCUUCAUCUACACCUACGCCUCUUCAGAUUGAAUUCUUA